rnacentral:rRNA from 1 species
AGAUUGAACGCUGGCGGCAUGCUUUACACAUGCAAGUCGAACGGCAGCACGGGGGCAACCCUGGUGGCGAGUGGCGAACGGGUGAGUAAUAUAUCGGAACGUACCCGGAAAUGGGGGAUAACGUAGCGAAAGUUACGCUAAUACCGCAUAUGCCCUGAGGGGGAAAGCGGGGGAUCCGUAAGAACCUCGCGUUUUCGGAGCGGCCGAUAUCGGAUUAGCUAGUAGGUGAGGUAAAGGCUCACCUAGGCGACGAUCCGUAGCUGGUCUGAGAGGACGACCAGCCACACUGGAACUGAGACACGGUCCAGACUCCUACGGGA